rnacentral:rRNA from 1 species
AUUGAACGCUGGCGGCAUGCUCUACACAUGCAAGUCGAACGGUAACAGGCCGCAAGGUGCUGACGAGUGGCGAACGGGUGAGUAAUGCAUCGGAACGUGCCCAGUCGUGGGGGAUAACUACUCGAAAGAGUAGCUAAUACCGCAUACGAUCUAUGGAUGAAAGCGGGGGACCGUAAGGCCUCGCGCGAUUGGAGCGGCCGAUGUCAGAUUAGGUAGUUGGUGGGGUAAAGGCUCACCAAGCCAACGAUCUGUAGCUGGUCUGAGAGGACGACCAGCCACACUGGGACUGAGACACGGCCCAGACUCCUACGGGAGGCAGCAGGGGGGAAUUUUGGACAAUGGGCGCAAGCCUGAUCCAGCAAUGCCGCGUGCAGGAAGAAGGCUUUCGGGUUGUAAACUGCUUUUGUACGGAACGAAACGGCUCUGGUUAAUACCCGGGGCUAAUGACGGUACCGUAAGAAUAAGCACCGGCUAACUACGUG